GCGAAUUUCAUGGUCACCAAACAGCAAGAGCGUGUUUAAGAGGAAUGGACAGAAGAGAAUCAUAGGAAACUAUGAAACGCAUGACUUUUGGGAAACAUGUUAGAGGAUGUGCAAGCAAACAACAUUUGUGUUGUCAAUCUGGCUGUUUGGUGUUUGUUUUAAGGAUAUUAAAUAUUCUGAACCGUCCAUUUAUUAUUUUUACUUUCCAUUUUUUGUUUUUCCUUUUAUGUUUUUCUGCCAACCGUUUCUAUUGAAACUAGAGUGAGAUAACUCUGCGUUUCUUGUGGUAAAUGGAGUUGCAAAUGAUCCAUGAACCAAGAAUGUGAUGCCGAGGAGCAAUUUUGACCUCUGAGUCGUUUCGGACAUCAAAUAUUGAAUGACGAGGAACAUAAUUUCAUUCUCGUGUUGAGAUUUAGAGGGAAAACAACAACAAAGAAAGUGUAACUUUCAAUAUCUGCAUUUGGGCCAUGGGCAUGGAUUCUCUAAAACAUUCUACUGAUCAUUCUGUCUGAGAACUUGGUAUUC